rnacentral:rRNA from 1 species
AUGGACGAUCAUCUGGCGGUGCUGGCGCGCGGCGAGGGGUGGACGGAGGAGCGGCACGCGGCGUUCCUCGACGGCGUCGAGCGCUCCUUCGUGCAGGAGGUGCUCGUGGGCGCCGCCGGCGUCAGCGAGGAGCGGCGGGCGUCGCGCAGGCUCUGCCACCGGGGGCCGCCGCCCGCCGGCGGCCGCGGCCAGCUCCCGCUGGAUCGCCCCCUCCCCGACAGCGCCGUGGAGUCCAACCGCCGGGGACCCUCCCGGCCCGCAGCCCGCGACGCCAAAUGA